AGAGUGAACGCUGGCGGUAGGCCUAACACAUGCAAGUCGAACGGCAGCACAGUAGGAGCUUGCUCUUACGGGUGGCGAGUGGCGGACGGGUGAGGAAUACAUCGGAAUCUACCUUUUGGUGGGGGAUAACGUAGGGAAACUUACGCUAAUACCGCAUACGCCCUUCGGGGGAAAGCCGGGACCAGCAAUGGCCUGGCGCUGAUAGAUGAGCCGAUGUCGGAUUAGCUAGUUGGUGAGGUAAUGGCUCACCAAGGCGACGAUCCGUAGCUGGUCUGAGAGGAUGAUCAGCCACACUGGAACUGAGACCGACGGUCCAGACCUCCGUACGGGAGGCAGCAGGUAGGGAAUAUUGGACUAAGUGGGCG
rnacentral:rRNA from 1 species